GUGGGGAAUAUUGCGCAAUGGGCGGAAGCCUGACGCAGCAACGCCGCGUGGGGGAACGAAGGCCUUAGGGUUGUAAACCUCUUUCAGCAGGGACGAAGCGGAAGUGACGGUACCUGCAGAAGAAGCACCGGCUAACUACGUGCCAGCAGCCGCGGUAAUACGUAGGGUGCGAGCGUUGUCCGGAUUUAUUGGGCGUAAAGGGCUCGUAGGCGGUCCGUCACGUCGGAAGUGAAACCCCGGGGCUUAACUCCGGGCCUGCUUUCGAUACGGGCGGACUUGAGUUCGGUAGGGGAGACCGGAAUUCCUGGUGUAGCGGUGGAAUGCGCAGAUAUCAGGAGGAACACCGAUGGCGAAGGCAGGUCUCUGGGCCGAUACUGACGCUGAGGAGCGAAAGCGUGGGGAGCGAACAGGAUUAGAAACCCGAGUAGUCC
rnacentral:rRNA from 1 species